GACGAACGCUGGCGGCGUGCUUAACACAUGCAAGUCGAACGGAGCGAAUGAAAGCUUGCUUUUAUGAGCUUAGUGGCAAACGGGUGAGUAACACGUAGACAACCUGCCGACAGGAUGGGGACAACAUUCCGAAAGGAAUGCUAAUACCGAAUGAAGUCGAGGGAAGGCAUCUUCCUUCGAUGAAAGAUGGCCUCUAUUUAUAAGCUAUCACCUGUCGAUGGGUCUGCGUCUGAUUAGCUAGUUGGUGAGGUAACGGCUCACCAAGGCGACGAUCAGUAGCCGGUCUGAGAGGAUGAACGGCCACAUUGGGACUGAGACACGGCCCAGACUCCUACGGGAGGCAGCAGUGGGGAAUCUUCCGCAAUGGGCGCAAGCCUGACGGAGCAACGCCGCGUGAGUGAAGAAGGUCUUUCGGAUCGUAAAGCUCUGGUGAUGGGGACG
rnacentral:rRNA from 1 species